GGAAAAAGAAGGCGUAGCCCAUAGGCGUCCAUGGAACGGCGAAAAAUCAGCCCCCUCUCUGAGCGCCUCGCCCCGCCCCUAUGGCCCGAAGGAGCAUAGGAUGAGAACUAUCCCGGGGACCAAUCAGCGUGCGCGCCCGGCGUGGACGAGCCCCCCUCUCUGCACCCAAUCACCUGCGACCGCGCCCUACAAAACAUCCGGCCAGCGCCACCCAAACCCCCAGGUGCCCUGACUCUGGCGCUCCCACCUGGUGAUGACCGACGGAGCGCUGACAGGCACGUCCAGGGCAUGGCUGCUCCCCCGCGCCCCGCCCUCCCCAAACAUCUCUGACGGACGGUUGGCUGCAGCCCAGGAAGCACCGUCGCGCCGCGGCCUGCAUCCCAGCCCCGCCCCUCCGAGCGGGAAGGAGGGCUGUGUGGAAUGCUCCAGCUCCCUCGCCAGCCUAAACGCAAGCCCGCUCUUUCCAGUGCAAUAAAACGAGAUGUACAACAA